GUUCUGUUGAAAGGCAAACAUCUACCAUUGAAAUACAAUAAUAGAUCUAAAAGCUGCAGAGUCCAUAGAACAAGAAAUAAGGGUAAUACAUAUAUUUCUACAUAAUUGGCAAAUCAAGCAACCAAAUCCAAAAUUAAUUUUGCAGAUCUAUUUCCAGCUUUCUACAUAGAGAGCCAAAGAUUUUCUGCUAAGAAUUAAUGACUCUGAUAUCCCAUCUUUUACGCUACUACAUGAGAAUAAAUAUAUAGAUACAUAUAACCAAGUGAUUGUGCAUAGAAAGAUGAUAUAUGGAUCAAAGUCCAGUGCUCCCAAUAGCUUUAGUAAGGCCAUAAGUUAUUCCUAUAGCCAACCAUCCGCCAACAAGAACCCUCAAAGAUGACCUAACAACUGGUGCAUGUCCUAAGACUGCACCUAGCCAUCCAAACCCUAUCAAGCCAAGGCUAGCCAAACCUAUCACAACCCCAACCCUCGCUACAUAAUCCUUCACAAAAACCGCCCCAAAAAGCGGUAUCACGGCUCCCACGGAAAAGGUAAAGGCUGAAGCGAUGGCGGCCUGCAAAGGGCUUGGCAAAUGUUUCUUCUUCUCCUCAAGUUCACUUGCAGAUCUGGUCUCUCUUUUCAGCUGAGCCAAUUCUGUGUCAUAUUGUGAAUAGACAGAAACAAAUUCUCCAAUGGCCAUGCUACAGGCACCACCGAUUAAACCAGCGAUACCUGAGAGAAUCAUGGUCUUGGGAUCUUGACGAACAGCUCCAACACCCAUUAUUAAGGAAGUUGUGGAAAGCAGACCAUCGUUUGCACCAAGAACAGCAGCUCGAAGCCACUGUGCCCUUUUGGAAUAGUUGAAGAUCACUUCAACUUCUUCCAGUUCAUGGUUUCUUUGAUUCUCAAGAUCAGUAAAAGGUUGUGGUGUUUCGGUUUCCUUAAAGGAGGAUUGGAUUUGGUUUGAUUCUUGAGGUGCUUCCAUGAGGAAAUUUGAGGUUUUGCAUAUUGAGAAGUGUG
rnacentral:misc_RNA from 1 species